AAACAGUGAGCCUAGAGCUGGAGACUAGCGUUAACCGGCGGGGCGGCCGGUUUUAUGAAUGAAGCUAUGGCUACAGAUUCCCCAAGAAGACCCAGUCGUUGUACUGGUGGAGUUGUGGUUCGCCCCCAGGCUGUCACAGAGCAGUCCUACAUGGAAAGUGUUGUGACUUUUCUGCAGGAUGUUGUGCCACAGGCUUACAGUGGAACACCUCUAACAGAAGAAAAGGAGAAAAUAGUCUGGGUCAGAUUUGAAAAUGCAGAUUUAAAUGAUACAUCAAGAAAUCUGGAAUUUCAUGAAAUACAUAGCACUGGGAAUGAACCUCCUUUGUUGAUUAUGAUUGGCUACAGUGAUGGAAUGCAGGUCUGGAGCAUCCCUACAUAGUCUUGCUCUGUCACCCAGGCUGGAGUGCAGUGGUGCAAUCACGGCUUCAACCUCCUGGGCUCAAGCGAUUCCCUCACCUCAGCCUCCCGCGUAGCUGGGACCACAGGCGUGCACCACCAUGCCCAACUGAUUUUUGUAUAUAUAUUUUUUUGUAGAGAUGGGGUUUUGCCAUGUUGCCCAGGCUGAUCUU
rnacentral:sRNA from 1 species